UACCAGCUCUCCGAGUGGUAGGGAUGAUUAUUGGGCUUAAAGCGUCCGUAGCCGGCUUAGCAAGUUUCCUGUUAAAUUCAGCGACCUAAUCGUUGAGCCGCGGGAAAUACUACUAGGCUAGGAGGCGGGAGAGGUCGACGGUACUUCUGGGGUAGGGGUGAAAUCCUAUAAUCCCGGGAGGACCACCAGUGGCGAAGGCUGUCGACUAGAACGCGCUCGACGGUGAGGGACGAAAGCUGGGGGAGCGAACCGGAUUAGAUACCCGGGUAGUCCCAGCUGUAAACGAUGCGGGCUAGGUGUUGGGGUGGCUACGUGCCACUUCAGUGCCGCAGGGAAGCCAUUAAGCCCGCCGCCUGGGGAGUACGGCCGCAAGGGCUAGAAACUUAAAGGGAAUUGGCGGGGGAGCACCACAAGGCGUGAAGCUUGCGGUUC
rnacentral:rRNA from 1 species